UUACAAUAAAAAUCCAGUUUAUGUGUGGAGAAGAUCCUAGCAACGCUAUGCCGGUCAUCUUUGGGAAGUCCAAUGGGCCCGAGUUUCUGCAGGAAGUAUACACAGCCAUUACAUACCAUAAUAAGUCUCCUGACUUUUAUGAAGAAGUGAAAAUUCAGCUCCCUGCUAAGCUCACAGUAAAUCACCACCUCCUGUUCACCUUCUAUCACGUCAGCU